GCCUGCUGUGAUGUAUAAAUAUAGAUUUGUGAUGUCAAAUAUGUUGUGUAAAUAUAGUUUGGAAAAACCAGUAACCAUAAACUUAAAAUUAUUUUAAUUUUAGAUUAAAUAAUUAGAGAAUUUAGUAAUUCAGUUUCUUAGUCAUGGAAAACAGACAACAGUGCUCUGUUUAGCUCCAUUGGAAUCAAGCUAGGAAGUGAAUGUCAUUUUGCAACAUAUACAUCGUUGCUUGGAAUCGAAACUUUUGAAGAGAUUCCUGAGAAUGAAAGAGAAAUAUUAAUGUGGAGGACUGGGCUCAAUAAUCAAUGUAAAACCAACAACUUGUCUACAUCAUAACCAUAUUUAUUUGAAGCGUUAUGGAACUAAAUUAACACGGUGCUGCAAUCCAUUUAAUACUCAUAACAAAGUUAUAAAAGGCAGUCUUCGUGAAAUCAACUUGGAUUCAGCAAAGUACUUAUGCGGUAAAGGCAAGUUCGUAGUGCCAGGUGAAAAAUUUUGUCCACAAUGCAGACAUAAAUUAGCAUCUAGUGAAGAAUCAGAAGAGAACGAGUUGAAGAUAAAAUUAACUGAAGAUAAUAUGAAAAAAAAAAACUAUACUGGAAUCAACAAGAUUAUUGCUCAACAGUACUUUGUGUGAACUUGAAGUGUCUCCACUAAAUUUCUUUACUUAAAGAUAAAUCAAGUUGAAGAAGCAGUUAUUAAGAAACUUGCAACUGCUCUGGAUGUCAUCGAACCCGAUCUUGUUGCACCUAACCACUAUGAAGUUCUAAAAGAAGUUGAAACCAAAGCUGGCGAUCUAGAUUUCCAUGUUGAAUGCAUGAAAGAAAAACUUUAAGUUUCUAACAGAAGGCAGCAAUUUCAAAUUUUGACAUUGACACCGAAAUCUUGGUCAAUCAGAAAAGCAGCAAAAGAGUUUUCAGUUUCCAAACACAAAAAUCAAAAUACAAAGCUUUUACGUGACCAAAAAAGCGUUAUUGCAUACCCCAACAUGGUUGAACGGCAUCGAAUCAGUAAAGAUGUCAUAGAACUUGUAAAGCUUUUUACUGUGUCGAUGAGUAUUCAAGGCAAAUGCCAGGUAAAAAAGACUGUGUAAAUGUUGGGAAA